rfam:Triticum aestivum genome assembly, contig: Triticum_aestivum_CS42_TGACv1_scaffold_434664_5DL
GAAUUACUUCCUUCGUUCAGAAUUACUCGUCACAUAAAUGGAUGUAUCUAGACGUAUUUUAGUUCUAGAUACAUCUAUUUUCGAGACAAGUAAUUCCGAACGGAUGGAGUAGUUU